rnacentral:lncRNA from 1 species
GUACCAAAGUUGUGGUUAACUGCAGUGGUAGAGGUGAUAAGGAUGUUCAUACAGCGAUUAAGCAUUUGCAGGUGUAAUUCCCCCAUGGUUUUCGUGCUGCCAUUUUAUUUCAUCCAUUUGCAUGAAAAUAAAAUGGUUGCCCCAUCAUUUACUGGAAUGCAUCUGUAGUCUGUUUCAGGGUUUUACAUCUGUAUGAAGACAAAGUUAGACAAUUACCGUUUAGCUGAUCGUCUAACUUUUUCCUCAUACAGAUGUAAAACCCUGAAACAGACUACAGAUGCAUUCCGGUAAAUGAUGGGAAACCAUUUUUUUUUUUAGCUAUCCUCUCCCUUUCAAGGUUUUUUUUUUCUCCUUUUCUUCUUUCCGUUGUCAUAUGUUAGAAAUUGU